AGAAACAUUCGCCAUUCUGGAGGAAAUUCCACCUAUUACUCCAUUAUUCAUUAGAAUCUCCGAGGAGGCGGAUGCGCUAACUGCUCUAGCAGAGACCGCGUGGAGGAAAACAGUUCCUCGAUGUCCCAGAGUGUCUUCAUGUAUCUCCAGUAGGAUGUAGGCGAUGGCCUCGGUCCAUCAAUCCACUCGGACAGUACCAGACAGACGUGCGGUGCCUCGGGGGAAACUCCCCUCCUCUGUGGGCCGAAUGCUGCGCAGGGGAAACCAUCACUCACUGUCCAUGCCUCCGUCAGGAUGGUGACGAUGCUGUCUGUUGGUGUAAGCUUGACGGAUGCCUCACAUGCAGGCGGAGGUCGCCCCGAGAGGGUGGAGGGCCACGAGACACCUUCGGCCACUUUCACAGAGAAAGGAUGGAGGUAAAGGAUUACCUCCGUCAAUGUUUGUAUUUGUGUCUUUGUUUCACUGAUUUAAACAUUUUUGAAUUUUUGACUAAUUGUACACUUUAUUGUUACUAUCCAAAUCUUCUUUUUAAUCUUUAUCAAUGAAGAUGAGUCAAACUGACACUUUGAGAACACAGAUUUGAAGCAUAAGACUCUGAUCUAAAUUAAAACAAACAUCUUGAUCUAUUCAUUUUAUAUUUUGCAUAUUAAAUAGCAUGUCUAGGCCAGGGAGAGGAUAGCACAUUUUCUUGAACAGCAUAGGGUUGAAACAAUUUAGUAUUAUUUUUUAAUCCAGAAUUUUCUUUUGGCUUAGAAAGGCGAGUGUGUUCUUUUUGUCCAUCCACCUGCCGUCUCGCCUACCGCAGCGCGCUACGUCACCAUCUCCGGGAGACGCACACACAGGUGUAUGCGUUAAAUUCCGUUGGUUGUACGUGAAGCAACUGUCAAGCAGUCACAACCUUUUCUUUUCAUGUGUUUCUGUGAGAUACGGCCAAUUUAACCAAUCCCUGAAUGGGGGAGAACACAAAUAUUUAACAUUUUAAAUGAUUGUAAAUUUAGCAUGGUAAAUAUUUGUACUGCUACAGCGAUUCUGAAAGGACUGCAUCAUUAAAAGCAGCAGAACACAACAAAUAUAUUUAUCUCUAUGUAGAAAUCUUAAAUAUACCUUAUCAGGGGAGACUUCUGCUUUCUAAACACAGCCAAAUCUCUCUUUCCUCUCCGGGUCCCGCAAGAGACACGCAAAGCAGCCCUGUGGUCUCAGGAUGUCCGAACGCUGUUUGAAGUUUAUCUAACUACCAUAUGUAUUUGUUUUUCCCAGCAGAGUAAAUGAUGAUUCUAUCUGUCCACUUAUCAUCCGGCCCCCCCACCACCGUGCACAUGUUAUUUAUUAUGAAAUGACACCUCGCUGUCCGGAGAGCCUGCUGCAGUGGGCGUGAUUCAUAGAGGCGGACCAUGGGACACAGGAAGACCAUUAAAAACCCUAUCAACAUCAUGUCACAGUUGGUGGAAAACGAGGGGGGGGAACUGGACAGCCAGCGAGAUGUUUUAUGGUCAAGCCUGUUUUACAAACGGGGAGUACAGGUCAAGAAACCGUGAUCCAGCCAGGAUCCCAAUUGUGUCAUGAUUGUCUUCCAGCGGAAUAAUCUGAGCAUGGUGGAAACAGUUGGACAUUUUGGUGUGGUUUCUUUUCCGGAUGAGAGUUAGAGGGAAAUAUCUAUAUAACUCUCAUGUGUGAAUGGAAAAAAAUGGAGGCUAAUGUAGAGUUGACAUAUCCUAGUUUGUGAUGUACAAAUGCAAAUAUAAUCCGAUAUAAAGGAAUACUCAAAACUUA